rnacentral:lncRNA from 1 species
AAAGGAAAUAGUGGACUGCAAACAAGGUGAAAUCAAGCAAGAGAUUUGCUAGAUUCAUAGUGCAGGAGCAGGUGAAUCUGAGCUCCACAGGAUUUAUCCCAGUCUUUCCUGGCCAAGAUGAUGUAGUGAACUGGGUGAGCCAGAAUUCCUCUGGGCUAUAUCAAGGGAAGUGACCAGACACCCAAAUCUCUUUUCUGUGGGAAGACAGUCACCUAGGAGAAUUUUAUCUGCUGAAGGACCUAAAUUCUCUUCUCUCUGCUCUGCUGUAACCCCCACGCCAUGGAGAAGAGCUCCUUCCAAGGAGGAAUAAACCCUCUGCUCUGCCCUAUUCAAACCCAAGGGCUGCCUUUGUGUUGCAGCUUUCAGAUUCCAAAGGCAUAUUUGGUUGGCGGCUCUGCUGGACGCACAAAGGGGCAUCAGCUGGACGUCACACCCCAUGGACACCUGGGAAGGCGAGGCUGAGAAAUGCUGUGCUGUUUUGGGGAGCAGCUUCAGGCAAGGGAUCCCAGCAAUGGAUUGCCUCUU